rnacentral:rRNA from 1 species
UACAGAGGUCUCAAGCGUUGUUCGGAUUCAUUGGGCGUAAAGGGUGCGUAGGCGGCCCUCCACGUCGGAUGUGAAAGCUCAGGGCUCAACCCUGGGAUGCCAUUCGAUACGGGAAGGCUAGAGGUAGGUAGGGGAAAGUGGAAUUCCUGGUGUAGCGGUGAAAUGCGCAGAUAUCAGGAGGAACACCGGUGGCGAAGGCGGCUUUCUGGGCCUUACCUGACGCUGAGGAGCGAAAGCUGGGGGAGCGAACAGG